rnacentral:tRNA from 97 species
UGGGGAUAAAGGAUUUGCAGUCCCCUGCCUUACCGCUUGGCCAUGCCGCC